ACCGAGUGAGGGCCCUCUGGGUCCAACCUCCCACCCGUGUUUAACGAACCUUGUUGCUUCGGCGGGCCCGCCUCACGGCCGCCGGGGGGCAUCCGCCCCCGGGCCCGCGCCCGCCGAAGACACCUGUGAACACUGUCUGAAGUUGCAGUCUGAGAAACUAGCUAAAUUAGUUAAAACUUUCAACAACGGAUCUCUUGGUUCCGGCAUCGAUGAAGAACGCAGCGAAAUGCGAUAAAUAAUGUGAAUUGCAGAAUUCAGUGAAUCAUCGAGUCUUUGAACGCACAUUGCGCCCUCUGGUAUUCCGGAGGGCAUGCCUGUCCGAGCGUCAUUGCUGCCCUCAAGCACGGCUUGUGUGUUGGGCCCUCGUCCCCCCCACCGGGGGGACGGGCCCGAAAGGCAGCGGCGGCACCGCGUCCGGUCCUCGAGCGUAUGGGGCUCUGUCACCCGCUCUUGUAGGCCCGGCCGGCGCCAGCCGACCCCCCUCAAUCUA
rnacentral:misc_RNA from 1 species